AUCCGUUGCUAUGUAAACCUAUGGGGUCUGCAUUUAAUUGUGGUGAACUCCACGCCUGGAGAACAGUGGCUAACAACUACUGUGGAGUUCGUACACCAGCUGUUAUUUACAUAAACGCAUAGUCCACCUCCACUUUUCUUACCGGAGCUCGCUGAUCGGUCCUGUUGGUGUGCUGUGUAGCCUGCUAGCUCGAUCUCCGGGUCCGGUAUGGUUGGAUUUAACCACGUCUCCGUGAUCAACAGAAUGCAGCAUUCCCGGAUGAGGUUGUCAGUUGCAAUCCACAGCUUCCAUUCGUCCAGUUUGUUAGCGAGAGACCUCACGUUGGAGAGAAAAAUGCUUGGUAGCGGUGGUUUGUGUGGCUGUUUCCUGAGCCUCACUAACAUGCCUC